rnacentral:rRNA from 1 species
CCUACGGGUGGCUGCAGUGGGGAAUAUUGGGCAAUGGGCGCCAGCCUGACCCAGCAACGCCGCGUGAAGGAAGAAGGCUUUCGGGUUGUAAACUUCUUUUCUCAGGGACGAAGCAAGUGACGGUACCUGCGGAAUAAGCCACGGCUAACUAAGUGCCUGCAGCCGCGGUAAUACGUAGGUGGCAAGCGUUAUCCGGAUUUACUGGGUGUAAAGGGCGUGUAGGCGGGGAUGCAAGUCAGAUGUGAAAACCACGGGCUCAACCUGUGGCCUGCAUUUGAAACUGUGUUUCUUGAGUACUGGGGAGGCAGACGGAAUUCCUGGUGUAGCGGUGAAAUGCGUAGAUAUUAUGAGGAACACCAGUGGCGAAGGCGGGCGGCUGGACAGCAACUGACGCUGAGGCGCGAAAGCGUGGGUAGCAAACAGGAUUAGAUACCCGAGUAGUC